GGGGAUGCAUGAUGAUAAAUACUUUGAACUCUCUCACUGAUUACAGAUGAAAGUAAAAGUACUGACUUCCCU